rnacentral:rRNA from 1 species
UACAGGGGGGGCAAGCGUUGUUCGGAAUUACUGGGCGUAAAGGGCUCGUAGGCGGCCAACUAAGUCCGACGUGAAAUCCCAAAGCUUAACUUUGGAACUGCGUCGGAUACUGGAUGGCUUGAAUUCGGGAGAGGGAUGCAGAAUUCCUGGUGUAGCGGUGAAAUGCGCAGAUAUCAGAAAGAACACCCGUGGCGAAGGCGGUUCUCUGGGACGGUACUGACGCUGAGACGCGAAAGCGUGGGGAGCGAACAGG